rnacentral:lncRNA from 1 species
UUAUGUUGAGUACAUAAAAGCACCAGGUCGGCCAUGCUACUAUUUCCGCCCCGGCACGGAUCGCUUCAGCCAAAGUGAUAUGAGCAGAACACGUGGGCUAACAUGAGCCGACCAGAGAUGAAUACAACCAGGGAAACAUACCGACCAGAGGUAUAUACCGAGCCGACACUCAUCCCCAGAGAAGCGGGAACACGAUCCCACAGAAUCGCGGUAGUUGUGCUUUUCCCAGAACCGUUGAAGGACACGCGAGAUCCACGUUUGCCCACAAUGUAACAGUUAGAGUCUUAUGAGGGGCUGCCACUACCCGAAAAAUGUGGGAUGAAUGGCAAACGGAAACGUGGGGACAGCGGCUAUAAAAGAAGAAGAAAUCGAUGAAGAAAGGGAGAGAAAAAUUGGAGAGAGGGAAAACGCUGUCAAAUUGCAACCAGGCCAUUUCCUUACAAAUUUCUAACAAACUUCUUGAAUCCAAAUUACAUUGUUUUCCCGUAAAUACCUUGUGCUAACUUAGGCAUCAGAGGGUUUACGCCGGCAAAACCACCGGCGUCUCUGACCCAUUUUUGUGAACGCAGGUCUAGUGAGAGAAAGGAGGGUGAUACCAGCCUUAGUGGUUCGAACAAACAGUCGAUAAUACAAACGUUGGUGAAAGAAUCUGGUCGGUCCAAGGGCGAGCAGAUUUUAGCAUCAACAUUUUGGCGCCGUCUGUGGGGAUCUGGAUAAAAAGUUACCACUGAAUUAGUAGUUACCGGAGAAACAGCGAACGAUUAGACAUGGAUUUGCCAAGGAAGGACGCUUUGAGGGAGGAUAACGAAUCGGGGGAGACAAUCACCCUUCGGGAAAUUGCAAAUGAAGCCCGAGAGAGGGUGAUGCAAGAUCGAUUGGAACGGAUGGAGAAGCAAAUGGAGACUCUCGCUACCAUACUGAAUGAGCUGAGAGAUGAGCGGAGAAGGGAUUGCGAAAUCCCCGGGGGGAGAGAUGAUGUUGGAGCAGAACUCAACCUCCGGAGGUGUAGAGUCGAGGAAAUCCCUCCGCUGGCGGACCAACCUUAUGGGGUGCAUCCCUACAGGAGCACUGGUCGGGUUCCUGGAGAGCAAGUAGAUGAAGGGAGGAACCAACCUCGCCCCAGGCGAGUACCGGAGGCUGAUGGCCGAGGGACCAGUGCUGAUGAAGGAGAGUUAAGACAGCGGUUGCAGAAUGUCGAGCAGGAGCGAGAUCAUAUGGCUGCAUGUGACCCUGACCGUGCUGUAGAAUUGGAAGGAGAGGUGCGCAGAUUAGCGCAAGUGAUAGAGGAGAUACAGGGUAAGAGGAAACCCCCAAGCUGGAGGAUAAUGCUAGAUGAAGAAUCUCCACUAUCAACUGAGAUCAUGGGCACCAUAAUCCCAAGAGAUUUCCGCUUCCCCGACCUCAAAUACUCCGGGCGAAGUGACCCGCUGGUACACAUUGAGCGUUUCAACGACAUGACGAGUGUGUAGGGGCUGACACCAGCUCAGAGGUGCAGGGUGUUCCCGUUGACAUUAGAGGGACGAGCCCGAGAAUGGUACCGCAAGCUGCCCCGAGGAAGUAUAAAGGGGUAUGAGCAGAUGUGCCAGGAGUUGGCCGAGCAGUUCCGAGGGGCAGUGGCCCCAGAGGACGACAUGAUGGAACUGAUGGGGAUGAAACAAGAGGAGCAUGAGUCCCUUCGAGAUUUUGUAAAACGAUAUCACCGAGCCGUGCUGGAUCUGGGAGCUUUUAAUCACCCGCAGGCGUUGAGGGGAUUAAAAGAAGGUGUAAGAAUCGGCCGACUGUGGUAUAACUUAAGAAGCCCCCUUGUACAGAAUUACUCGUCAGGGUAUGAGCAGGCGAGGCGAGAUAUAGAAAUCGAAGAGGAGAAAUCGGCAAGAAUAAAAAGUGAACAGCUGGACGAGCUGAGGCGAAGGAACGGAGGGCCCCGACGGGGAACAGGUCGGGAAAACGAGCUGGAGAAUCUUCAGUGAUGGGCGGAAUAUCGGCUCGGUCCCGCCCUUACUCUAUAGCUCCGAGAUCACAGCAGUUCCAGCACAACCGGGCUCAACCUCCGCAUCCCCCAUUUUCGGAUCGGCAGUGAGAAUUCCGGCAGAUGGCUGCUCACCCUUAUCACAACACUCCUAGAGCAUUAAAUGCAACCAAUUCCAGGACUAGUCGACCAGAUCAGUUAGCGACUAUGCCAGCCCGAGGUGACAUUCAUGAUAGCUGAACAGUUCAACUGGUAGACCAGAGCUUGGCGUAUAAACAGUAUACUCCAUUAAAGAUCUCCAUGGAGGAAUUGUAUAAGAGGAUCGAGGGACGAGGCCUGUUGUACCCUCCAGCCCCUAUAACAAAACCGGCUCACUGACGGGAUAAGAGCAAAUUCUGCAAAUUCCACGACACUCAUGGUCACGCUAUCAGCCAAUGUCGUGACCUGAAAAUUCAGGUGGAGGAUUUGGUGAGAAACCGUUAUUUGGACGAAUAUGUAGAUGGAAUGUCCCCCGUCACUGAAUCACAGUAUACGCGGGAUGAAGGGGCUGAGAUGGGCCUGGAACAUGAACAGCCGACUAUCCGUGUAAUAGCAGGGGGGCCAACAUUGGCUGGGGAUUCGAACAGAGCACGAAAGAACUAUGGGUGAUAUGCCCUGACUAGCAAAGAAGUGCUUUUCAAUUUGCCGGCAACCAAGAAGGCAAAAGUGCGGCAAGUUCCCAUUAUGUGGACAGAUGACGAUGAAGAGGGUAUCUUAUAUCCGCAUGAGGAUGCAUUGGUGAUCAAGGCAAUGGUGGCUGGUGCAGAAUUGCGAUGAGUACUAGUAGACACAGGCAGCUCGGUUGACAUCCUGUUUAAGUCGGCUCUAGAUGAUAUGGGGAUUGCAGACUUGAAAUUGGAGCGGACAAAUACAUCCUUAAAGGGAUUUGGAGGGGGACGGUUAACUCCCAUGGGGAUCAUCGAACUCCCAAUUACUAUGGGGACGAAGCCAUUUGAAAGAACAAUGAUGUUGGAUUUUGUUGUGGUAGAAGAAAGAAGCCCUUACCAGAUGAUACUGGGGAGACCAUUCAUGAGGAUAAGUCAAUGCGUUGUAUCCACGCAUUACUUGGCACUGAAAUACAGAGUAAAUGGGAUGGUUGGCGUUGUAAAAGGCGACCAGAGGAUGGCAAGGAGUUGUUAUGCUACAACGGCCAAGGAGACACUGCAGGUUACUUCUCUAGAUAAUCGAGGAGAGUCCAAAAAGGGCCGCCAAGAGCCUGUUGAGAAACUGGAAGAAGUUGCGGUAAGCAAAAGCAACCCGAGCAGAGUAGUAAAGAUCGGGUCAGGAUUGGUUGGGGCAGUAAAAAGCGAGCUGAUAAAUUACCUACAGUCUCAUGCGGAUAUAUUCGCCUGGUCUCAUGAAGAUAUGCCCGGAAUUGAUCGCGGGGUAGCUUGCCACAAGUUGGCAAUCAAAAAGGGGGCAAGGCCGGUGAGACAGAAGAGGAGAUGCUUCAACCAGGAAAGGUACGAGGCCAUAAACGCCGAGGUGGAGAAGCUGUUGAAAGCAGGAUUUAUAAGGGAAGCCAAGUACCCAGAAUGGAUUUCAAAUGUAGUCCUGGUAAAAAAGGCCAACGGAAAGUGGAGAAUGUGUGUGGACUUCACGGACCUCAAUAAGGCAUGCCCAAAGGACAGCUUUUCCCUACCCAAAAUAGAUCAACUGGUGGACUCAACAGCAGGUCACAGUCUGCUCAGUUUCAUGGAUGCCUUUUCUGGAUACAACCAGAUACCCAUGGACGAGCAGGAUGAGGAAAGCACUGCCUUUAUAACUAACAUGGGUUUGUUUUGCUACAGGGUAAUGCCUUUCGGCCUAAAAAAUGCAGGAGCCACCUAUCAAAGGUUGGUAAACAAGAUCUUCAAACCGCUGAUUGGACACACUAUGGAGGUAUAUGUGGAUGAUAUGAUUACAAAGUCCAAAGAGCCGAUGGAUCAUAUGAAGCAUCUAGAAGAGACCUUUGAAUUACUGAGGAAGUAUGAGAUGAAAUUAAACCCGGAGAAAUGUGCAUUUGGGGUCAGCUCGGGCAAAUUUCUGGGAUUCCUGGUAAGCCACCGAGGGAUUGAGGCCAACCCCGAAAAAAUACGAGCGGUUACAGAUAUGAGAUCUCCACGGACAGUUAAAGAGGUGCAGAGCCUUACAGGGAAGUUGACAGCAUUGAACCGAUUCAUCUCGCGGGCCACAGAUAAAUGCCACCCUUUCUUCCAAAUUAUAAAGAAAGGGAGAAAGAUGGAAUGGACAUCAGAGUACGAGGAAGCAUUUGGGCAGCUGAAGGAAUAUCUGGCCCGUGCACCGUUACUAUCAACUCCGAGAGAGGGUGACCAGCUGCUUUUGUACUUGGCAAUCUCCAAGCGGGCUACCAGCUCGGUCUUAGUCAGGGAAGAAGAAGGGAAGCAACACCCGGUAUACUACACGAGCAAGGCCCUGGUGGACGCAGAAACCAGAUAUCCACUAAUGGAGAAGUGGGCGCUGGCUCUGAUAACGGUAACACGCAAACUCCGACCAUAUUUCCAAGCCCACCAGAUCGUUGUGAUGACUGACCAGCCUCUUCGGUAAGUGCUUCAAAAACCAGAUGCGUCUGGUCGGUUAGUAAAAUGGUCUGUGGAGCUGAGCGAAUUUGACCUGUCCUACAGGCCCCAAGGAGCAAUCAAGGCCCAAGCCCUGGUAGAAUUUAUGGUAGACCGAGCUGAACCAGUGGAAGGAGAUCAGGAGGAGCAACAGUUAGAGCAUGAGAAAACAGAGGGGAUGUGGUUGGUAAUGGUUGACGGAUCAUGUAGUGAGCAAGGAUCCGGAGCAGGGGUUGUAAUACGGAGCCUAGAAGGAUCCGAAAUAACGUAUGCAGUGAAGUUCGAAUUUCAGCUCACAAAUAACCAAGCUGAAUAUGAAGCCUUUAUCACCGGGCUCGGACUCGCACACGCCUUGAAAGCAAAGAGGGUAGAAAUCCGAGCAGAUUCCCAAUUGGUAUGUAAUCAGCUCAAUGAUCAGUUCCAAGCAAGGGGAGAGAAGAUGGGCCUUUAUUUGAAGAAGGCGAAGCAGAUGGUCGGACUUUUCCAAGAGGUGGAGGUAAAGCAGAUAUCCCGGAAUAAGAAUUACCGAGCGGAUAUGCUGGCUAGGAUGGCUGCAAUUGCAGACCCGAAAUUACCUAAGUCGGUCCCACUAGAGGUAAGGACCUCGCCGAGCAUAGGGGAGGAAGUGGAGAUGAUGAGAGUAAGCACUGGAGAAUCCUAGAUGGGCCCGAUUCGCGCGUAUGUCCGCGACGGAGUUUUGCCUAAGGACAAAAGGCAAGCGAGAAAGUUAAAAUGCCGAGCAGCGAGGUACACGCUACUAGAUGAAGUGCUGUAUCGCCGAGGGUUCACCUUGCCCCUUUUGCGAUGUGUGGAUGAUGAGGAGGCGAUUAUAUACUAAGGGAGAUUCAUGAAGGAAUUUGCGGCAAUCACUCGGGAGCAAGAACUUUAGCCUUCAAGGCACUCCGUCAAGAGUACUUCUGGCCAACCAUGCACCAGGAUGCAAAAAAGAUGGCAAAAAACUGUAAAACGUGCCAAAGCUUCUCUGAGGUCCCCACACAACCCCCAGAAAAGCUGACCACUAUGACAUCCCCAUGGCCUUUUGCACAAUGGGGAAUCAACCUGAUUGGUCCGUUACCGAAAGGCCGAGGAGCGGCAACCCAUGCAAUUGUAGCAGUAGACUACUUCACCAAGUGGAUAGAGGUGGGGGUCCUUAGCCAAAUCACGGAGAGAAAGACAACGGAUUUUAUCUGGAAGAAUAUCAUCUGCAGAUACGGAAUCCCUUAUACCAUCAUCACCGAUAAUGGGAGGCAGUUUGACAACAACAACUUCAGAGAGUUUUGCCGAAACCUAGGGGUGGAUCUGAAGUUCUGCACCCUCGCACACCCCCAGGCAAACGGACAAGUGGAAGCAGCCAAUAAAAUGGUAAAGAAACUCCUGAAGACUAGACUGGGAGAGAAGAAAGGAGCUUGGGUUACUAAGGCAACAAAGUGCCUACUUAUGCUCGGUCAACGAAAAACCAGCAGCUAAAUUUACGAACUUUUACUAAGGCAAGUAAGUGUCUGCUCCUGCUCGGUCACCGAAGACCAGCAGGCGAUUUUGCGAAAAUUUUACUAAGGCAAAUAGAUGCCUAUUCUUGUUCGAUGCACUAAAGAACCAACAGGCAAAACCAGAAAAGAAAGCCAAUAUAGAGCAUUCAAAUAAUUUUUUUAUAAACGUUCAAAUGUUUACAAAGCAAGUGAAAAACUAGAGUCUUUACAAAAAUAGACUUAAGGAUUAGGAGGAUCAACGGCCUCAGCAGGUGAAGGGUCAGCUAUCUCGGGAGGUAGAAGGUCGGCAAUAUCGGAGGGAGGAGGCACGGACUCCUGUCCCACUUCAAAAACACGCUGCCCAGCUUCUCCCUCCUGCACCCCAUCCAAAGGAGCCUCCACCUGGUCCUGCUCACCCUGCUCCUUAUCUGCUUGGUCGACCUCUGCCAUAUACCGCUGCACUCCGGCCUCCAGCUUGCUCAUGUCCAUCUCGGGAUAUUCUGUCUUAAGCACAGACAUGAUGCACUUGUAGGAGAAGGCAACCCCAGAAUCAUACUCGGCAUCUAGCCGAUCAUCCACAUCAGCGGAUUUGCCUUUCUCCUCAGCCAGCUGCUCACCCAAGGAUUUUAUUUCCCCCUCAAGGGCGGCCCUCAAAGUAUCCCUUUCAGUUUGAGUAACCUGAAGAUCAGAUCUCAGGUCACCCAACUCGCCCUCAAGUUUGGAGGAAGUGGAUUCAGCAACCGCAACUUUCUCCUCUAGCUCCGUGAUCUGCUUAUUCAGCUCAGCCAGCUUCUCCUUGGAGCGAUCAGUAGAGUCAGCUUUCUUCUUCAAUUCCUGGUUGUCAGCCUGGAGCUUCCUCUCAUGGCGCGCGGACCUAAUCUUGUAGCACGAAACCAUGGUGGCCACCCUGAAGGACACUCUCUGAACAGAAGCAGCUAGCUCGGAGAAGUUCAUACUCUCGAUGUCCUUCACUAUCUUGGGCCCCACCGAUCUCUUGUAAUCCUUCUGAUACGGGCUCAGGUAGUCCGCUUGAUCCCGAGAUGGUAGAGGAGAAGAUCGGUCCCCAGACGGGUAGCUGACCUCAGGACUUUUGUCAGAAGUUUUCUCCUCGCCACUCUUACGGGGUGGAUGAGGGGGCAGAGCAGGGACAGGAGCCUUGGAAGGGCCGACACUGGUUUUCUUUGGAGGAGGAGGGGGGUUGCUGGAGCUGCUUGGAGCCCGACCACGCUUCCUGCUCAUCGCGCUGAGGAUCGUGUUAUCCAUUCCAGCGGCUAGGUCUACUAGGCCCGAACCGACCAGACUUGUUGGUGACAGGAGGUCCUGGUAGGUAGACGCGUUCAACAGUGUAGUUUCCACCUGAAGCAAAGGUCGAUCUUCAAGCCCCCCGAUCAAACCCCACGACUCUGAAAUAGUAAAAGAGGUUAAAGAACUCGAUAAGUGACAAUUUGAGUAAGAGCAUAGGCAAAAAUGAACGACCUCGGGUGACAAAAUGUGUGGGAAGAUAAAUGUCCCCACCAAGCGACCGAACUGCUGGACACCAGUUCCCCCCGGCAAAGAAGAAUUUGUUCUUCCAAUUUUUACAUGAAGAGGAAAACCCAGUGAUCGGUUUCCUCUUUGCAGAACUGGACAUAAGUAGUACCAGCCCGCUUCCUUCGGGCUACUCCGUAGCGGGUACAGGUGUUUCACUUCAACAAGGGAAGGCUCCUCCGACCCGUACCUCUCCCACAACACAAACAUUGCCGAGAGAACCCUCCAGCCAUUUGGGUGUAGCUGACCUGGGGCCAGGUGCAUACUGCCCAGUAUCUUGGCAAAAUAACGUUGAAGGGGCAGCUGAGCUCCUAGUCUAAAACUCUCCAAAUGCAUCGUCACAUGCCCUUUCGGAGGCCGACUAGGGACAUCACCUUUUCCAGGAACUACAAGAAGAACAUCGUUGGGGAUGUUGUAGAGGUUCCUAAGCUUAAAUAGAUCAGUGGGGGUGGUGGCACAAGCUAUGAAAUCAAUAGGAUAGGAAUCAGCCUCCACCCUAUGGCCAAUAUGCCUUUUCUUAGCAGGUCCGCUCGGUCCGGAACUACUCCCCUCACCAUCACCAGCUCCCUCAGGGAUCCCAACCCCACUAAAGCUGUGGUUCUCACCAGAGCCCGACGCAGGUCCACCUCUAUUCCCUACAAGCUCUAGUUCGGGGGAGGGAGAGACAACCAAGGGUCGUGGGUACUAGAGGGUACCCUUGCCAUGGGAAGGACCUACGCUACUGGAGGGGCCUAAGAAAUCUGUGGGUAUUGACACGUUGAGGCAUGAAUCCCCUGAUUCUUCAUCACUCUCAUCAACAAUUAACUUUUUUUUUCCGGUUUGACAUAUCGGAAUCCCAAAAGAAAACAAGGAAAACUCGAAUAUACGGAUACAAAAUGGGGCAACAUGAAACCCAAUCAACAACAACCAGAGAAGGGAUUAAAAACAAUACCUGAAAUGAAUUGGCCCUGAUAGCGCUGCCGUGACAGAGAAAAAACAGCAAGUAGAAACUCCGGACCCAGGGAAUGUGAGUAAAGUUCAGAAAGGGGGGAGGUUAACGACGGAGAGACGAAUAACAAAACAAUGACAAUAUAAGUCUAGGGAUUUGAAACGAAAAAGGGGAAAUGAGAGCAUUUAAGUGAUGGGGAUGCCAGCUCACUCACCAAAUAUCGAGGACAGAUAGCCCGUCGUUUCAAAUUUCAAAUAUGAAGAAUCUGGAGGUGCCACAUCACCAACCGUUACAAGGGGCCAAGAUAGACGUAAGCCCAGAUAUGCAAUAGACAUGCUCAUUUAGGCCCAUACUCAGGUCGGAAUCUCCCCAAAAGAAAAAUGGUACCUCAGGUCCGCCCCAGCAAACAAAAGACCAGAUGAAAAGCUCCCCGGGUUGGUGAGAUUUGACCAUCAGUUUCUACUCUUCACUCAUUUCACUCGCCAGACCAGAAAUUGGGGGACUGGUGUUGAGUACAUAAAAGCACCAGGUCGGCCAUGCUACUAUUUCCGCCUCGGCACGGAUCGCUUCAACCAAAGUGAUAUGAGCAGAACACGUGGGCUAACAUGAGCCGACCAGAGAUGAAUACAACCAGGGAAACAUACAGACCAGAGGUAUAUACCGAGCCGGCACUCAUCCCCAAAGAAGCGGGAACACGAUCCUACAGAAUCGCGGUAGUUGCGCUUUUCCCAGAACCGUUGAAGGACACGCGAGAUCCACGUUUGCCCACAAUGUAACAGUUAGAGUCCCAUGAGGGGCUGCCACUACCUGAAAAAGGUGGGAUGAAUGGCAAACGGAAACGUGGGGACAGCGGCUAUAAAAGAAGAAGAAAUCGAUGAAGAAAUGGAGAGAAAAACUGGAGAGAGGGAAAACGCUGCCAAAUUGCAACCAGGCCAUUUCCUUACAAAUUUCUAACAAACUUCUUGAAUCCAAAUUAUAUUGUUUUCCCGUAAAUACCUUGUGCUAACUUAGGCAUCCGAGGGUUUACGCCGGCAAAACCACCGGCGUCUCUGACCCAAUUUUGUGAACGCAGGUCUAGUAAGAGAAAGGAGGGUGAUACCAGCCUUAGUGGUUCGAACAAACAGUCGAUAAUACAAACGUUGGUGAAAGAAUCUGGUCGGUCCAAGGGCGAGCAGAUUUCAGCAUCAACAAAUUAUAUUUUGUAAACGAAUAAUAAACGAAUCCAAAAUUGUUAUGGAUUCAUUAUAGGAUAAACACAUAAUAAAUGAAUCCAAAUUCAGUUCGAUUCGUUUAUUAAUUCUACUAAACGAAUUAAAUGAAUCAAACUAAAUAUUCGUUUAAUAAACGAAUCGAAUUCGAAUUAGUAUAAUUUUGACCCUAUUCGUUAACAAUUCAAUUCAAAUUCGAUUCAUUUAUUUGUUUUGCCACCCUUAUCUAAAACUAACUUCAACUGAAAUAUUUUAUAUAUGAAAAUUCAAUUCUCACAUUUUUUUUUUUGUUGGUCUUCAGAUCUCACUGUAACUUGUUAAAAAAAUCAAAGUCUUAUUUGGAAUUGAGGUUGAGUACUAAAGUAUUUGGUAAAUAUCCGUUUUUGUAACUUGGAAGCAAAAUUAAUUUGAUUUUACGAU